rfam:Oryzias latipes DNA, scaffold6261, strain: Hd-rR.
GGAAAUGUGCCUGAAAUAGGGUUACUUUGAUAGAGUGAAUAAUGAGGGUUAAAGCCCCUCCAUCUCCU